rnacentral:rRNA from 1 species
GCCCUAGAAUACCAAGGCGAUCGGGUGAACUGUGGUUAAGGAACUCGGCAAAUUGCCCCCGUAACUUCGGGAGAAGGGGGACCUCUGCUGGUGAUGGGCUUUACGUUCUGAGCUGGUGGGGGUCGCAGUGGCCAGGGGGAAGCGACUGUUUAUUAAAAACACAGGUCCGUGCGAAGUCGUAAGACGAUGUAUACGGACUGACGCCUGCCCGGUGCCGGAACGUUAAGGGGACCGCUUAGCCAACGCGAGUUGGCGAAGGUGAGAACUUAAGCGCCGGUAAACGGCGGUGGUAACUAUAACCAUCCUAAGGUAGCGAAAUUCCUUGUCGGGUAAGUUCCGACCUGCACGAAUGGCGUAACGACUUCCCCGCUGUCUCAACCACAGACCCGGCGAAAUUGCACUACGAGUAAAGAUGCUCGUUUCGCGCAGCAGGACGGAAAGACCCCGGGACCUUCACUACAGCUUGACAUUGGCGUUUGGAACGUCUUGUGUAGGAUAGGUGGGAGACUGGGAAGCUGUCACGCUAGUGAUGGUGGAGUCAUUGGUGAAAUACCACUCUGGUCGUUUUGAACGUCUAACUCUGGUCCGUGAUCCGGAUCGGGGACAGUGUCUGGUGGGUAGUUUAACUGGGGCGGUUGCCUCCUAAAGAGUAACGGAGGCGCCCAAAGGUUCCCUCAGCCUGGUUGGCAAUCAGGUGUUGAGUGUAAGUGCACAAGGGAGCUUGACUGUGAGACUGACAGGUCGAGCAGGAGCGAAAGCUGGGACUAGUGAUCCGGCAUCGGCGUGUGGAAGCGGUGUCGCUCAAUGGCUAAAAGGUACCCCGGGGAUAACAGGCUGAUCUUCCCCAAGAGUCCAUAUCGACGGGAUGGUUUGGCACCUCGAUGUCGGCUCGUCGCAUCCUGGGGCUGGAGUAGGUCCCAAGGGUUGGGCUGUUCGCCCAUUAAAGCGGUACGCGAGCUGGGUUUAGAACGUCGCGAGACAGUUCGGUCCCUAUCCGCUGCGCGCGCAGGAGACUUGAAGGGGGCUGUCCCUAGUACGAGAGGACCGGGACGGACGAACCUCUGGUGUGCCAGUUGUACCGCCAGGUGCACGGCUGGUUGGCUACGUUCGGAAGGGAUAACCGCUGAAAGCAUCUAAGCGGGAAGCUCGCCUUGAGAUGAGGUCUCCCACCCUGUGAGGGGGUAAGGCUCCCGGUAGAUCACCGGGUUGAUAGGCCGGAGGUGGAAGCACGGUAACGUGUGGAGCUGACCGGUACUAAUAGGCCGAGGACUUGACCAA